rnacentral:rRNA from 1 species
CAGUCGCGCGGUAACACGGAGGGCGCGAGCGUUACCCGGAUUUACUGGGCGUAAAGGGCGUGUAGGCGGCCUGGGGCGUCCCAUGUGAAAGGCCACGGCUCAACCGUGGAGGAGCGUGGGAUACGCUUAGGCUAGAGGGUGGGAGAGGGUGGUGGAAUUCCUGGUGUAGCGGUGAAAUGCGCAGAUAUCAGGAGGAACACCAAUGGCGAAGGCAGCUCGCUGGGACGUGACUGACGCUGAGACGCGAAAGCGUGGGGAGCAAACAGGAUUAGAUACCGAGUAGUCCCUGUCUCUUAUACAC